rnacentral:lncRNA from 1 species
CUACGAACACGUGGAACAAGUGGUGACUAGGGUUCACCCACAACAAUAGCUUCAAACUUGAAAUGAGAUACAUUUGUAUUCUUUAUAUGCUUCUAUGAAAUUUUGACACUUUGUAAUCAAUGUCGUGAAGUGAGAUACAUUUGUAUUCUUUAUAUGCUUUAAAUGGUGCGGCUUUAUAUACAUUUGUAUGCUUUCAAUGAUGUGGCUGUGUAUUUUUCUGUGUUGUGAUGUGAUGUGCUGUAUAUAUUUUUUUGUGUAUUUCCUGUGUAUUUUCUGUAGUUUUAAUUAUUUUUUUAAUUACCGAAAAUGUAUCAGUGUAGGUCGAUCGCCCGACACUGAUGUGGCAAAGCG